AAAACACGGCGAUCGCACCAGUGUUCGCUGGCUGUAUUAUAUCCAGAGUUCACCUCUUCUCCCGCAGAGCUCACACGGAGAAACAAAGCGAGCCGAGCCGUGAGAAUUCCCCGGUGUCCGGGUGGUAACAGAGCGGUCGGUGUGUCUUCAUUCACCACAACGAAGCACACAGCCAGCCACAAGAUGACCUCAAGCCCCCCCAUGUACCUGGCCUGUCAGAUGGGAAGACAAGUAUAUGAAAAUAAACAAAUACAGUCAGGUCAGGUUGGGGGACUUGCACUGGUAUAGCUGUGGAACCCAUCAGGUGACGAAAUACCUCGGGAUCGCAGUUGGCAACCUCUUGGGGCGACACGGUCCAGUGCCACCCUCGGGAAAUGGCCAUCUAUCUGUCACAGUCAGGUGUCACCUGGGUGUCUCCUACCCCACUGAGGUAGCUGCUCCUCUGCAUGUGCCUGAAAUCUUCAUAACAUUUAUCUUAUCUUAUCUUAUCUUAUCUUAUCUUAUCUUAUCUUAUCUUAUCUUAUCUUAUCUUAUCUUAUCUUAUCUUAUCCCAUCAUCUUAUUUUUUUUUUAGCAUGGGGCAUUUCCCUGUUGCAUGCAGGAAUCAAAAAGAGCACAACAGAUGUUUAAAAGUUCGUGCAUGAUAAAGAAAAUGUUUUGGAUGAUAAAAAAUCUCUAUGCAUUGGGACUAAGUGGACAUUUCUUGAAAGUUUAACUGUGAUUUCCUACAAGGCAAUGUUUAAGAUGCAAGCCUGUGUGUCGGAAAUGUUUUGAGGAAUGAGCGGUUUUUAAACAUGGUGUAAAAUAUUCUUAAUUAAAACUGCUUGGUGAUAUUAUGGGAGCGUUUUGGGGAUGCUGAAUAUUAUUAGACUGGCAUGGCAGAUUUUUUUUCUCUCCUACAUUCUGCUGAAUCUGAGGCGUGUCGGCUUUCCCGGAACCUUCUCCCGCGUUCCCGCCGUACGGGCCGUGACUCGAGGGCAGACUCCAGUCCUGUGACGCCUCCGGUUCACUUAACCCAGGCGUGAGCUCGGAGUCUGAGCUGGAGUGCUUUGAUCACUUUACGCACGUGCUAACAAGUUAACAGGGAUACCCAGCAGCCGCCCCGGGAUGAAAGGCUGUGCAGACCCCCCCCUCGUUGUGCACACAUAGCCUCGCCCAUUGGGGGGGGGGGGGGGGGUGUCUUCUUUCUGUCGCCUGUCAGUUACAUGUUAGCUCUGCCACUUAUUGCACACAGGCCCUCCCCAGCAUGGACACCAGGGAUGAUAACUGCAUGCGGCAGCAGAUGCUGGCAGGGUGGCUGGCCUGCACGAGCCCCGGACCCGGUGCGGUCCCCGGCCCCUAAACGCGGCUCCAUUGGCCGUUUAAUUAACGAUCCGGAUGGAGUUUUGCGGGACAUCUGCUUGCGGGCUGUGUGCUGGGCCCUUGACCCCGUGGGGGGGGGCACCAGCGAGGCGGUGCCAAAAAAGCGGCGGGCCCCAAGGCAGAUGGUGCCAGCUCGGCUCUGAAGGCACGCCUGCGAGCGCCGAAGCCAAACCCCUGGCAGGACCUCUCAGCCUGUCACUCAAGCCUGUCAGAGCGGGUCCACGCCCAGCGGGAUUCUGGGUAAUCCUCAUGGACACACUCUUACCAAAUGAGCUCCACCCAAAUUCACAUCAAACCUUCAAGCGCAUUCUUCUGUCUACAACAUUUGUCUGCUAAUUAAUAUAUGAAAUUAACCUGGAUUUGUGUCUCAUGAAAGCAGUUUUUUUCUUUACUACUUUUACAUAAUUGAUGCCAUUUACCUUGAUUAUGUGACGGGCACCUUGCCACUUGUAAUAUCUUGUUUUUAAAUGUUUUAUAUCAUUUUAUACUGUGUUCCUUUAAUUUUAAAUUUUCAUGCGCAAUUCUCUUUUAUUCUUUUACUUAUGCUUACUUUUACUUUGUGCAUUAUU